rnacentral:tRNA from 3 species
GGGGAGAUUCCAGAGUGGCUAAACGGGGCAGACUGUAAAUCUGUUGGGCAACCUUCGGAGGUUCGAAUCCUUCUCUCCCCACAA